GCUGAUUGGCGGGAGCGGGGCGGAGGCGGGCCCCGGCGGCGGGCCUCGGGCGGCGGUGGCGCAGCAGCGGCGGCAUUGGCGGAGCGCGUGUGCGGGCCCGGGAGCGGCGGCAGCGGCCGGAGCCCGGGGAGGCGGCGGCGGAGCUCGGAGGCGGCCCCGGCGCAGGCCAGGAUUUGUCAAUCCCAGCCUUUGUCUGGAUGGAGCUGGAGGAGGCUGCAAGGAAAAGGAAGGUGGUGUGGGACAUAUGAGGCAGGAGCUAUGCAAAGCCCUGCCUGAUUUACAGCUUGGGUGACAAAGGCUACCUAAGGCUUUCUCCAUGAGUUCCUGUUGUUCAGCUGCUACAAGAAUAUCAUCCAUAGAAUGGUACAAAAGAACACUGGGCAUUUGUUGAUGAACAGAACUGAGGACCUAGCAAUAUACCUCUGGCAAAUAGUACAGCUGUUUUUCAUGCUCUCAGGUAAAACUAUCCAGUGAUAUCGCUGUAAGGGCACCUGCAUGUUUGUGCUUGGAACUGAAAAGGAAAAUUUAGGAGCAUCAUCGGGAGGUAAAGGAACAUCAAAAACCCAAUCUUUUAAAUCAAUAACAGUCAAGUCCCAAUUUCAGGGGAAUCACGGUAGGAGAUGGGAGACCAGGCUGUAAGAGUCUUGUGUCCCCCUUAGCUGCACUGAUUUUUUGAAGAUCAUGGAGUAAAUGCCAUUUGCCAGUUUGUUUUUUGACAACAAACAUGGGAGAAUUCCAAGGAUGGGUAGAAGGGACAAUAUGCCCUUUCUGGAGUUGUUGUUGGAACAACUCUGUUAAUGAACAAAGCUUUUGCAAUGGUUGGGGCCAUUGAUCCACCCAAACUGGAUCCUCUGUUUUCCAGGUUAGUUUUAAAGUGUCACAGUUCAAUGGCCCACAUUAAAAAUCUGAUUGAAUUCCAAAGCCCCAUUGGGAGAGAACAUCCCCCACCACAGUACCAUUGGCACUGGUAAUACAAACAGUCUGACUGAGGCCAGGUGUCCCUCGGGGCCUUUGAUCCAUAUCAAGUGGUGGCUUUGACAGCUGCAGCUGCUUCCUCCAGUGCCUGAAAAUGCCUGGAGCACUUCAGCAAGGGACCAAUGCGGGGGCCAUUUGGCUUGAGAGAGAACUGUAACAUCAGCCCCUGUGUCUAUGGGGCUGUCAGGUGUUAUCUUUUGUCCUUUUAAUGUCAGGGUACACCAGCAUGUGGGGCAUUGUUCUAAUAUAGGUUUUACCCAGCAUACUUGGGGUGUUCCAGCAGACCCAAAUCCGCCUUUCACAUUACGUCUGUGAAAGGUAUGCUCAUGGUUUGGGGAAAUAAAAUCAAUUGAGCUAUUCAAGUUCCUUGGGGAACAGUGAAAGGCAGUCGGGGUGUCCAGGCCAUGAUCAUAAUCUCAUUAUCAGAGUCAAUAACCUCAGAGAGAACAAAAUGUCCCAUCAAAGAGGUGGACGAUCGACCUAAAAACAAUGCAUGCAUACGCAGCCCGGGAGGUCUGAAAACUCCUGAGGGAAGCAAAUGAACGGAUGACUCAAGUAAGGUUACUGUGAUGGAGGCUGCCAGGUCCAGCCUGGCGCUCCCUGGUGUGGAUGGUUGUAAAUUGGAGAUGGUGAAGGCUGCUUGUGGCAGCUGGGCUGGGGCUUGCUGCGCUCUGCUCGGGGGCACCGGCUGGGGCAUUUGUGUCUGUGCACGGUACUGCCCCACAAUUCAACUCCUGUUUCCCAAUAUCAAAUUCUUUUCAAAAUCCACAACUUGGAAUGUUGUCGAUUAGCAUAAUGCCUUCCUUUACAGCAACAAGGGCAAAUACCGUGAGCUUUAGACGUGGCUUCUCUCUUUCCAAAACACUCCUUUUUCAAUUGCCCAGAUUUCUGACCCUGAAGCACUUUCGAGGCCCCCCUGGCAGAGUGUUCAAAGCUGCAAAGGCAUUAGCUCUACCAGCCCCACAGCUUUAUGAGUAACUGCUGCUGUAUGCUGAAGGUACACAGGCGUUUACAUGCCUCUAUCAUUUCCAGCAGGGUGUGUUCCUCCUUAAGCAAGGACUUAAGAAGUUUUUUACAAUUCUCAUUAGCAUUUUCAACAGCUACUAUUAAAACCAACACCUCUCUGGCAAUGUCAUUCUCAGUUUGUCUUUUAAGAGCUUGUUUCAAGCAGCCAAUGAAUUCAUAUAAGGCUCAGACAGUCCUUGCUUUACAUUAGCAAAUACUUUUGGGGGGAUCACAGCAUCAGGAACCUUUCAAAAUGUGAUAUGCACAGCUUCAGUAAUACCCUCAAGGGCCUCUCUGGGAAUGUGAGCUUGACCAAAGGGUCUGAGUGGGCUCCUUUUCUGGCCAGAUAGUCAGUCGUGAGGAGUGUGAUAUUCUGGUUUCCAUGCCCCACAGAUUUCACCAGCCUUUUUCCACUGAGCAUCUGUGGAGGCUGCUGGGCCUACAGAACAAAGGUCCAUUAUAGUCCUUUGGACAGACAGACAGACCCUAAGUUAGAGAAAUCUCACCUGUUCAGAGCAACUGAGCAGAGCCUCUCCCAGGAUGCUUUGUUGUAUAUGCAAAUAUACCCACUUCUACCUCCCUGGUUGGCCUGUUGGCCUCUCCACCCCUUUUUCCUUAUAUGUAUAUAACCUAGAAUGUUCUCCCUUCCCUGCUUACCCAUUGGCCCCAUAUUGCUGCAGUGUCCCGCCCCCAUUACCUAUUGGCUGCCACCCCUUGUCCCCCCUCUGUACCGCCCUGAGCCCUCAGCCCAUUGGCCCUGAUGCUCUGCUCUGCCCCCCUGGUCCCCUGUAUUCAAACCUGCACCCUGCACUGUUCUUUUUGUCUCUGUCCCUGGUCCCCUUCGAGCAUGGCUGGAAUAAACCUCCUCCUCUGACCUCCACACAAAGACCCUUCCCACUCCUUUGCCAUUGGUGAUUCUACAAGAGAAGUGUGUGCUGCAGUGAUUGUGUGUGUGUUCCUGUGCCACUGAGCAGCUUCAUCACUGGAGACGCUUCUGGAAGGUCGUGGCACCGCUGCCUCUCGCUCCACCACCAACGGGCUAGCGGCUUGUGACAGCUGGCAGCCUGAGCAGGGACCUCUUUGGAGCAUUCCUGGAAGCGUCUCCCAUAGCUUUUUUGCUACUGGAAUUAAGUCAUGUUCAGAGCAGCCAGGUCCCAGAGGAGACUUCUAAGUUUUAUUGGGGGAAUCCCACGGGUAACUGGCAACCGUCUUGAGGCGAGAAGAUCGGUCGAAGCUGAUGGACCAUCCUGAGAGCUUUUGCUGACCCAUGGUCGUGAUAUGCUACCAACACUGAGUCCCGAAGACUUUGCAACGACACUACAGAACCCUGCUAAUGGAGAGCUCUUGACGACAAUCGUGAGUCACGGGGUGGUGUAAGAGACGGUCUGAAGUUUCCCUCAUUUGCCUCACGACCAUCACAAGGACAGAGACCAAGACCCAGGAGACCCUGGCUGGAGUUCUGGCCUGGUUGAGGUGGAUGCUCGCCGGGUGAUUGUUUGCAGCUGUUUGCUGUGCCGCCACGGUACACGGCUUCGAGCAGGGCCUGGCCAGGAGCGGCUUGCUCUGCUGGCUUACACCUGCUUCACAAUCCCCGCUCAUCACACUAGCCCAGGAACUGCCCCACCUCUUGGCCAAAAUAAGAAAAAUGAACCAUCACGACCCCCGUUUGUACUAGCAGAUCAUGACACUUUGACAGACACGGAAAGAGGGGCAGGGUCACCUUGAGAGGCCAGGAAGGGACUAGAACAAAGGGAGGAGAAUAGCUUGAGGGACAACUUUAAGGGAGGGUACAAUUUAGGUAUAAACCAACUUGGGAAAAACAUGGCGGGACACCAGAAUGAAGCAUUUAACAAUACCUUAGCGAAAUAAACACAAACCACAACAGUUGGUUGUGCUGGGAAACGACUGGAAGGGGUCUUGGUGAGUCCUGGUGGGGCUGGGAAGGGAGUGAGAGAGGGAUUGGAGGUGCUGGGGCAAUGGGGGGAAACUGGGACUUGUGGCAUCCUGAGAGGGAUGGGAGAGGCUUUGGUGGGUCCUGAGGAGGCUGGGAAGGGAUUUGGGACAGGUUUCAGGAGGUCCUGAGUGGGCUGGGAGUGACUGACAGGGUGCUUGGAGGGGCUUUGGGUGUCUGUGAGAGGUUUUGGGGGUCCUGACCCUUGCAGAUCCCCCAGAGAUGCUGCCAGAUGCUGCCCACAGCAAGAUGCUGACGGGGGGUCUGUUGUGAACAUCCCAGGUGUGGAGACAUGAGCUCUGACUCCAGUUUUCAGAAAACUGGUUUAAUGUAUCAUUUUAAUACUACCUAUACUAAAUUAUAAUAUAUACAGUAUUAAAUGAUACAUUAAAACAAUACUGAAAGAAUAGAGAGAAAAGAUUCAUCAGAAGGCUACAAAGAACAAGAAUGGAAUGCAUAACAAAAUCCUGUGACUCUCCGAUGCAGCUGCAUCUGUGAUUGGCUCUUACUUAGAAACAAUCAACAUCCACCAAUCACAGAUGCACCUGAUGCAUUCCACAGAAGCAGAUAGUUAUUGUUUCCAUUUCUUUCCUGAGUCCCUCAGUUCCUCAGGAGCGAAAAAUCCUGGCAAAGGAUUUUUCAUAAUAUAUCAUGU